UCUCACUGAUGCAGAGAGCACUGUGCUCAGCCGUAAGCUUGACCAGCAAUCAUUUUGAGAGCUUAGUCAUUGCCGAUGGUUGCCCAAAUCACCUCCUUUUUUCUUGGUGAUACAAUCUCUCCACCGGUAAAGAAUCAGAGCAUAACCCAAUAAGCAUCUCAAGAACACUCUAAUCAACGGAGAGCAGACUCUUUGUAGGGGGAACAUCGAGAUUACUGAAUCAGACUAGAUGAUUAGAAGAAAUCCAACAACAACAUUAUGAAUGAAGUAAUAAAAGGUUGCCUUCUGGAUUGGUCUUUUGCAGGAUGCAAUCGUUUAUCAUCGAAGCUAUACAUGGUUGUGUUUCUCGGGUGCUGUGGUUGAUCUCUGGGCAAAUGCAGUUUCUUACCUGUCUCCAAGAAGCACUUCUCUUGCAGAAGGUGUUUUCUUAAGACGAACGUCUCUUGACAAUCUGGUGCCAUUACAA